ACUUCUCCACGUUACUCGACACAGUGCAGCAGCUACCAGCCAACACUGUGCGCCCGAUGGAACAGGCACCGCCUACUACAGAUGCUACACUACCUUUUUGACAGUUUUGUGAACAAGAAGAAGAAUGCCUUGACUGGUUGUCACAAUUUGAAGCCCACGUCAUCACCCACAAUGUACCAGAUUCACGGAUCUAGAGGACAGCGUGGCCACAGCAGCCGCCAGAGGGUGUCCCCACAACACCGCUGGAUGACCCCAUGGAGACUGAGCCCUCACCUCCUCCACCUCCUCUCGUCCUACCAAUGGAGCUGUACCCACCCACACAGCAGCAGUUGGCACCUUCUUCAUAUGGUUCGUGGCAGCAGGAGGUGGACACGUACCCUUCUGAUCGUUUUCCGAGGGAUGUUUCCGCAAGAGCGCAAGCCGGAUGGUGGGAUACGGCUGGAAGCUUGAUGUCCCCUGCAGCCACAGUUUCCAGCCCGGCGAUCUGCCCACACUCUUGCCUCCCCCACCGUGAUCGCACUAACUACACGACGACAGUCCAUCACUUGGGGACGGGGAGGGGGGAGGAAUGUUUUGGCAUAACCACAAGUGCCAGAACAAAAAUUAAGAACGCAAGAGAAGAGAAGGCGGUGAAACGACGUCAGCCAAUGGUGCGCUGAUUAGGACUGCACCAUGACAGGAACUACCUCUACAAGGGGAGAGUAUAAGUGCCACUCCUGCCAGCCUUGGCUGCUCAGUAUUCAGCAGACAGGGCUAGCAGAGAACACUACGAUAGCAGUUAUUAGAGAUCCACAAACUGUGUCUUAAACUUGCAUGAACAUUGCAUAUAGCAAAGGACUUGGAUUAAUGUUGCAUGUCGCCUCCCACUUGCGACACCAUUGUAAAUUCCAAGUUAAGUAUUGUCAUUCUUCUGAAUUGUAAUAAAAACUAUUAGUGUGA